rnacentral:rRNA from 1 species
AGAACGAACGCUGGCGGCAUGCCUAACACAUGCAAGUCGAACGAAGGCUUCGGCCUUAGUGGCGCACGGGUGCGUAACGCGUGGGAACCUGCCCCUCGGUUCGGAAUAACAGUUAGAAAUGACUGCUAAUACCGGAUGAUGACUUCGGUCCAAAGAUUUAUCGCCGAGGGA